rnacentral:tRNA from 1 species
UGGGGCGUCGCCAAGCGGUAAGGCAUCGGGCUUUGGUCCCGACAUACGCAGGUUCGAUCCCUGCCGCCCCAUCCA